GACGAACGCUGGCGGCGUGCCUAAUACAUGCAAGUCGAACGCUGAAGGAGGACCUUGCUCUUCUGGAUGAGUUGCGAACGGGUGAGUAACGCGUAAGUAACCUGCCUGGUAGCGGGGGAUAACUAUUGGAAACGAUAGCUAAUACCGCAUAACAGUAGAUGUUGCAUGACAUUUAUUUAAAAGUUCCAUUUGCAUUACUACUAGAUGGACCUGCGUAGUAUUUGCUAGGUGGUGGGGGAAAGGCUCACCUAGGCGACUAGACAGAGCGGAAGGGAGAGGGGGGGUGGCCAAACUGGGAAGGAGACACGGCCCAGAGUUCUACGGGAGGGAGCAGGAGGGCAUCUUCGGAAAUAGGCGGAAGUCAGAACGAAGAAAGCCGGGGGAGGGAAGAAGGGUGUCGGGUCGGAAAGGUCGGUUGUAAGGGAAGAAAGAGCGUGAGGGUGGAAAGUUGACAUUGUGACGGUAACUGAAGAAAAAGGAACGGCUAACUACGUG
rnacentral:rRNA from 1 species